rnacentral:rRNA from 1 species
GAUGAACGCUCGCGGGAGGCCUAACACAUGCAAGCCGAGCGGUAGAGUCUCUUCGGAGACUUGAGAGCGGCGCACGGGUGCGGAACACGUGUGCAACCUGCCUUUAUCUGGGGGAUAGCCUUUCGAAAGGAAGAUUAAUACCCCAUAAUAUACUGGAUGGCAUCAUCUGGUAUUGAAAACUCCGGUGGAUAGAGAUGGGCACGCGCAAGAUUAGAUAGUUGGUGAGGUAACGGCUCACCAAGUCAGCGAUCUUUAGGGGGCCUGAGAGGGUGAUCCCCCACACUGGUACUGAGACACGGACCAGGCUCCUACGGGAGGCAGCAGUGAGGAAUAUUGGACAAUGGGUGAGAGCCUGAUCCAGCCAUCCCGCGUGAAGGACGACGGCCCUAUGGGUUGUAAACUUCUUUUGUAUAGGGAUAAACCUAGAUACGUGUAUCUAGCUGAAGGUACUAUACGAAUAAGCACCGGCUAACUCCGUG